UGAGGGGUUACUCCAGCCACCAUGACCACUUCUGCUUUUAGAAGUGGUCAUGGUGGUAGGAGUGUAUAUAUA